AUUGAACGCUGGCGGCAUGCCUUACACAUGCAAGUCGAACGGUAACGGGCCUUCGGGUGCCGACGAGUGGCGAACGGGUGAGUAAUGCAUCGGAACGUACCUUUCAGUGGGGGAUAACGUAGCGAAAGUUACGCUAAUACCGCAUAUUCUGUGAGCAGGAAAGCAGGGGAUCGCAAGACCUUGCGCUGAUUGAGCGGCCGAUGUCAGAUUAGCUAGUUGGUGAGGUAAAGGCUCACCAAGGCGACGAUCUGUAGCGGGUCUGAGAGGAUGAUCCGCCACACUGGAACUGAGACACGGUCCAGACUCCUACGGGAGGCAGCAGUGGGGAAUUUUGGACAAUGGGGGCAACCCUGAUCCAGCCAUGCCGCGUGUGUGAAGAAGGCCUUCGGGUUGUAAAGCACUUUAAGCGAGGAGGAAUGGCUCUUGGUUAAUAACCUUGAGCAGUGACGUUACUCGCAGAAUAAGCACCGGCUAACUCUGUGCCAGCCGCCGCUGUAACAC
rnacentral:rRNA from 1 species